GAUGAACGCUAGCGAUAGGCUUAACACAUGCAAGUCGAGGGGCAGCAUUAUUUUAGCUUGCUAAGAUAGAUGGCGACCGGCGCACGGGUGCGUAACGCGUAUGCAACCUGCCUGUAAUUAGGGAAUAACCCGGUGAAAGUCGGACUAAUACCCUAUAUUCUUCUUUCUCCGCAUGGGGGAGGACGGAAAGAUUUAUUGAUUACAGAUGGGCAUGCGUCCCAUUAGCUAGUUGGUAAGGUAACGGCUUACCAAGGCAACGAUGGGUAGGGGGACUGAGAGGUUGACCCCCCACACUGGUACUGAGACACGGACCAGACUCCUACGGGAGGCAGCAGUGAGGAAUAUUGGUCAAUGGGCGAGAGCCUGAACCAGCCAAGUCGCGUGAAGGACGACGGUUCUAUGGAUUGUAAACUUCUUUUGUAGAGGAAUAAUGGCAGCUACGUGUAGCUGAGAUGCAUGUACUCUACG
rnacentral:rRNA from 1 species